rnacentral:lncRNA from 1 species
AAACUAACUAACAAAUUGAAAGAUAGAAAACUUAAUGCUUUUAUUUAUUAUUAUUUUUUUUGAAUUCUCUUUGCACUCCGUAUCACUAUCCCCCCACCAUUUCAACUGACCUUUAAUUUUAUUUUUUGUAAGAGGGAGUAUUUAAAAAUAUCCAGUAAGAUACGUGCAAUUUCUGUGGACAAUUAUAUAACAAUAAAAUUCACAUUUCAUGCCACAUUUCUCUUAUGGAGUAUAUCGGUAACCAAACAACAUACUUAUCAUUAGUCAUUUAAAUUCCCAGAGGAUUUCACAUUUCGUUAUGAAGAACCCAAUAGAUUUCACAUUUUCGUUAGGUCGAACCCGAAGGUCCAUCGAUAAUUCAAGCAUAAAUUAUUGAAUUUAAAAGUAUACUGAAAUAAACUACUUACACAAAAGUAUCUUACUUUGAUUUUGAAAGGUUGGAAAGAAUAAGAUCUUGCACGUAAAAAUUCUCUUCUUAUUUUUCUAUACCUUUUCCUCUCCUUUCUCUCUAUCAUGGCUCUCUUUAUUUUCCGUGAUGAAAAAAUGUGAAUUCUUGCAGUAUUUAUAGUUGAAAUUCUCAAUUGAGUUUGCAUGCAACUAGAAUUGAAAAAUCAUGUAAUACAAGGAAUUUAAAUAAGAAUUGAUUUCAAAUGGUAGAGUUAGUAGUAUACUCUACUAUUGAUUUUCCUGGUACAAUCAUCCCAUUAAAAGUAGGACACUUGGCCAACUAGUGCUUGGUUUCAAAAAGUGAUUUGAAUUGUACUAUACUAUUGGUUUCAUAUAAAUCACGUGCGAUAGGAAUUACAAGAUGAAAAGAAUUUUACAUAAUUAAUAUUGCAAGCCCC